AGCUGUUUUUGGACUACAGUUCCCAUCAUCCCUGACCACUGGCCCUGCUGGCUAGGGGUGAUGGGAGUUGUAGUCCAAAAACAGCU
rnacentral:miRNA from 1 species